rnacentral:rRNA from 1 species
AAAUUGAAGAGUUUGAUCAUGGCUCAGAUUGAACGCUGGCGGCAGGCCUAACACAUGCAAGUCGAACGGUAACAGGAAACAGCUUGCUGUUUCGCUGACGAGUGGCGGACGGGUGAGUAAUGUCUGGGAAACUGCCUGAUGGAGGGGGAUAACUACUGGAAACGGUAGCUAAUACCGCAUAACGUCGCAAGACCAAAGAGGGGGACCCUCGGGCCU